AUUGAACGCUGGCGGCAGGCCUAACACAUGCAAGUCGAGCGAGCGGCGGACGGGUGAGUAAUGUAUGGGGCUCUGCCCGAUGGAGGGGGAUAACUACUGGAAACGGUGGAUAAUACCGCAUACUAUCGGAUGAACCCAUCUGGGAUUAGCUAGUAGGUGGGGUAAAGGCUAACCUAGGCGACGAUCCCUAGCUGGUCUGAGAGGAUGAACAGCCACACUGGUACUGAGACACGGCCCAGACUCCUACGGGAGGCAGCAGUGGGUAAGAUUGCACAAUGGGCGUAAGCCUGAUGCAGCCAUGCCGAGUGUAUGACGAAGGCCUGAGGGUUGUAAAGUACUUUCAGCGAGGAGGCGUUACUCGAAGAAGAAGCACCGGCUAACUCCGUGCCAGCAGCCGCGGUAAUAC
rnacentral:rRNA from 1 species